rnacentral:rRNA from 1 species
UACGUAGGUCGCAAGCGUUGUCCGGAUUUACUGGGCGUAAAGAGCGCGCAGGCGGUCGUUCAAGUCGCGUGUGAAAGCCCCCGGCUCAACUGGGGAGGGUCACGCGAUACUGAUCGACUCGAAGGCAGGAGAGGGUAGUGGAAUUCCCGGUGUAGUGGUGAAAUGCGUAGAUAUCGGGAGGAACACCAGUGGCGAAGGCGACUACCUGGCCUGUUCUUGACGCUGAGGCGCGAAAGCUAGGGGAGCAAACGGGG